GAACGUCUGGAUUCAGAUACAGAAAGUUUCAUGGCAGACAUGUACUCAUUUAAAGCAAGUGAAAACCUUGAAAAGUACGAACAACUAAACCAAGAAUUAGGAUACACAUCAUGGGAUAUUGACGUCAGUGGAAACAAAAUGUUUGUACUAGUUGAUCGCAGGAAUAUUAAUGACAAAGUUAAAAGACAUUCAGUGAUAGGGAUGAAGUGGAGGCCUUAUCGAUAAACAAAGAGUCCCCAGUUCAGGAAAUGGUACAGCGCUGAGAGUAUUUUGAAAGUUAAGAAAGGUGAAAUGUAUAAAAAGAGAUUUCAUGAAGAUGGUUCCUAGUAAGUCCGGAAUAUGGCUCGUAUUCGAAGAAUAAUUGUGAUUGUUUGUAAAAGCAGUUUACAUGAAAUAUAGUUUGAGCUUUUAAUCAAAAUGUUGUUCUUUCUUUAUAUUCAACGGAUGUUUUUUGUAGUGCAAGUUAGCAUAACCUUAAAAAGAGAUGCAGGUAAACCUGUGUUAAAGACCACCUCUGAACAGAGGCCACCUGACUCUAAAGACCACAUGUUUUGUUUCCAGUUUUAACAUUUAUUUAGCCUGUGACUACCUCCAAAUAAAGACCACAUUUUGGCUCUACCUAGUCUUGUCUUUAUAGACAGGUUUGAAAGUAUAUGUAAAAGUACACUCGAAGUUUUAUCUAGCAUAAGUGCAGUGACUGACCCAUAAAUUUUGGUCUGUCCGUUUGUCUCUCUGUAUGUCACAAAGUUUAAAUGUGCAUAUCAUGUGAAACAGCAAUGCGGAUUCA
rnacentral:lncRNA from 1 species